UUUAAGGAAUGAAGAGUUACCCUCUACGUCUUGACAAGAGUCACCUCCCUUCGCACCGUCUUUACAAAGGAAAAUGGCGGGUGUCAUUCGGUACAACAAGGGAGUAAUCCAUGUUCAUAUUUGAACUUCCGCUUCCACCGUUGGAUAAUUCAAGAUGAAUCAUGCAGCCAUAAUCCCAAAUCGGUUCCAGCUGAACGAGGACUUUGACAAUAUAAUCGUUCCG